rnacentral:rRNA from 1 species
CGGCUAACUCCGUGCCAGCAGCCGCGGUAAUACGGAGGGUGCAAGCGUUAUCCGGAAUCAUUGGGCGUAAAGCGCCUGUAGGUUGUUUAGUAAGUCCAUUGUUAAAGACCAGGGCUUAACCCUGGGAAAGCAAUAGAAACUACUAGACUUGAGUAUGGCAGGGGUAGAGGGAAUUUCUAGUGUAGCGGUGAAAUGCGUAGAUAUUAGAAAGAACACCGGUGGCGAAAGCGCUCUACUGGACCAUUACUGACACUGAGAGGCGAAAGCUAGGGUAGCAAAAGGGAUUAGAUACCCCUGUAGUCCUAGCCGUAAACGAUGGAUACUAGGUGUU